rnacentral:tRNA from 1 species
GCAGUGGUGGCUCAGUGGUAGAAUGCUCUCUUUCCACGUGGGAGACCCAGGUCUGAUUCCCGGCCAGUGCA